ACAUGCAGUACAUCACCAUGUAUUUGUAGAGAUAUUGUUCAGGGACCAAAGCAAAAAAUUAUAAUCCCUCUUGGCAUGUGACACACUGCAACAGCUCAUUUAGAAUCCUGGGUCAACCCUUUUGAAGCUGUACAACAAUCCCAUUCAAAAUAUCUGAUUUUUGAACUUUAGUUUUCUCAUCUGCAAAAUGGGGAUAAUAUCAACCACACAGUGCUGCUGAUGUGAAUGAGGCAGAAGACAGAGCCACUGAGCUCACACAGACACGCCCAGUGCCAAGGACCAGAGGGCCUUUGUGGCCUAUGGGUAGGGGACCUAAUUGGUGGGAACAGGUGCAAAGCCAGAGCAUGUGCAGCCAUGGAGACUGAAGAGCAGCACCAAGCUAAGGACAGCUUUACAAAGAGUGUCAGAAGUGUCACUCCUCACAGUAGCUUCCCAAUGCCUAGAGAGAUGGAAAGGAGUACCAUCACUGUGGCCAUCUUAAGAUCUCCUGGUGCAUGUUUUUUCUCACAAAGUGAAGCAAACCAGUCAACUGGAAUGGGAUAAAUCUUUGGAUGGUGAGCAUGCUAUGGCAAAUGAUAUAAACUGGACUAGAGGUUCUGAUCUUCAUGGUGGCUCUCUUAAAGAAGUUCUGAUUUAUUGGAUAUGAAAGUCAGAGCCCUAUGCAAGAGUUUUUUUGUAGAAGAAUCAACGAAUACUUGACUCAUUUGUGAAAUGUUGGUGCCAGUCAAGACAGACUUGUAAGUUGAUUUUGUGCCAGUUAAGACUGAUUAGACUUUUUAACUGUGAUGGAUGGUCAAUGGUCACGUAAUGAUGGCCCCAUCUACACACUGGCCACAAAAUGAUGAGAAUUGUGGAAUACAAUUAGAUAGAACACAUAGCUCAGCUAUGUGGCUGAUAACAAAAAGUCUCACUGCUGCCUAGGUAUUAAACAGUAAAGCAGAAAAAAUGUAAACAGUAGUUGGUUGUGCCUGUGAGACUUGGUCAGAGUCUUGGUGGUCUACCUGGGAGAAACAGGGAAUAGUAGAAAGAGCACUAGGAUUGGUUCUGAUGGGGGGUUCAGACUAACUCCAUCACUUUCUGUGUUAUUUUGGGCAAUUUAAUGCUUAGAAUCUCUAGUUAUGUAUCUCUAAAACAUAAUCAUCAGGCAUCUUAUAGGGAUUCUUCUGAGGGAAGUGUUGUCAUUCAAAAUAAGACUCUCAAGAAAGAUACCUGGGUCAUCUCUCAGUUAUUAUCCUAUAAAUUAUUCAUAAGGCAGAUUUUCUACUAUACUUUUUAAUCCUAAAUUGGCUUCUCCUUUUGCUACUGGGACACUUCCAAGAAAGCUCCCCCUGCCAAACAGCCAGUAUGUUUAUGGGAAUAAAUGGCUGACUUCUCAGGCUCUCACCCUUUAAGAAGAAAAAAUACACCUUCUAAACUAUAUAGGAAGAAACCCAUCCAGAGGCUCUUAUCUUAUCCUGAACUUAGGCAUUCCUGGUCCUACAAAAAUCCAUUAAAAACCUCCUCCUGCCAAUGUAUAUCCUCAGUCUCCAAUAAUAAUGAAGAUAAUGAUAGCAGUGUUAAUAAUAACAUUGUCAUUAGUGUGACAUGGCCUCUGGCCCUUCAGCAAACCCAGAGUUUUUACUUUAUAGGGACAUACUGGUUUCUGUUUACCCAUUUUUCAAGAUUGCAUAAAAAGCAUUGGCUGUCAUAUUGAUGAGAUGUAUGCCUGUUUCAUGAGGGGGUUAGGAGCUAGCUUAAGUUUAGAUAAAAAGUGAGUAAUGUCUUUAGAAAACAUUCUUAUCAAGAAAAGUCUCUGUAAACUUUCACUUAAAAAAUACCACAAUUCUUGA